ACGAACGCUGGCGGCGUGCCUAAUACAUGCAAGUCGAGCGGAAUGAUGAAGAAGCUUGCUUCUUCUGAUUUUAGCGGCGGACGGGUGAGUAACACGUGGGCAACCUACCUUGUAGAUUGGGAUAACUCCGGGAAACCGGGGCUAAUACCGAAUAAUCCAUUUUGCUUCAUGGCGAGAUGUUGAAAGACGGUUUCGGCUGUCACUACAAGAUGGGCCCGCGGCGCGUUAGCUAGUUGGUAGGGUAAUGGCCUACCAAGGCGACGAUGCGUAGCCGACCUGAGAGGGUGAUCGGCCACACUGGGACUGAGACACGGCCCAGACUCCUACGGGAGGCAGCAGUAGGGAAUCUUCCACAAUGGACGAAAGUCUGAUGGAGCAACGCCGCGUGAGUGAAGAAGGUUUUCGGAUCGUAAAACUCUGUUGUAAGGGAAGAACACGUACGAGAGUAACUGCUCGUACCAUGACGGUACCUUAUUAGAAAGCCACGGCUAACUACGUG
rnacentral:rRNA from 1 species